UACAGAGGGUGCGAGCGUUGUCCGGAAUCACUGGGCGUAAAGGGCGCGUAGGCGGCCUGAUAAGUAGGGGGUGAAAUCUUGCGGCUCAACCGCAAGGCUGCCUUCUAAACUGUCAGGCUGGAGCACGGUAGAGGCAGAUGGAAUUCCCGGUGUAGCGGUGGAAUGCGUAGAGAUCGGGAAGAACACCAGUGGCGGAGGCGGUCUGCUGGGCCGAUACUGACGCUGAGGAGCGAAAGCGUGGGGAGCGAACAGG
rnacentral:rRNA from 1 species